GACGAACCGUGCGAACGUUAUUCGGAAUCACUGGGCUUAAAGCGCGUGUAGGCGGGUGGGCACGUCGGCCGCUGAAAUCCCCCGGCUCAACCGGGGAAGGGGCGCCGAUACGGCCGGCCUGGAGGGACGUAGGGGGGGCUGGAACUUCCGGUGGAGCGGUGAAAUGCGUUGAGAUCGGAAGGGACGCCCGUGGCGAAAGCGAGCCCCUGGACGUCUACUGACGCUGAGACGCGAAAGCCAGGGGAGCGAACGGG
rnacentral:rRNA from 1 species